rnacentral:rRNA from 1 species
GAUGAACGCUGGCGGCGUGCCUAAUACAUGCAAGUCGAGCGAACAGACGAGGAGCUUGCUCCUCUGACGUUAGCGGCGGACGGGUGAGUAACACGUGGAUAACCUACCUAUAAGACUGGGAUAACUUCGGGAAACCGGAGCUAAUACCGGAUAAUAUAUUGAACCGCAUGGUUCAAUAGUGAAAGACGGUUUUGCUGUCACUUAUAGAUGGAUCCGCGCCGCAUUAGCUAGUUGGUAAGGUAACGGCUUACCAAGGCAACGAUGCGUAGCCGACCUGAGAGGGUGAUCGGCCACACUGGAACUGGUACACGGACCAGACUCCUACGGGAGGCAGCAGUAGGGAAUCUUCCGAAAUGGGCGACAGCCUGACGGAGCAACGCCGCGUGAGUGAUGAAGGUCUUCGGAUCGUAAAACUCUGUUAUUAGGGAAGAACAAAUGUGUAAGUAACUAUGCACGUCUUGACGGUACCUGAUCAGAAAGCCACGGCUAACUACGUG